rnacentral:misc_RNA from 1 species
UCACCGCUUGCGCGGGCAGUCUUAUUAGAGUCCCCGGCAUUACCCGCUGGCAACUAAUAAUAGGGGUUGCGCUCGUUACAGGACUUAACCUAACACCUCACGGCACGAGCUGACGACAGCCAUGCAGCACCUAGUUUCGUGCAAUUGCUUGCUGUCAUAUUUCUACGACAUUCACUAACUUUCAAGCCCUGGUAAGGUUCCUCGCGUAUCAUCGAAUUAAACCACAUGCUCCUCCGCUUGUGCGGGCCCCCGUCAAUUCCUUUGAGUUUCAACCUUGCGGUCGUACUCCCCAGGUGGAUAACUUAAUGCUUUCGCUUGGACGCUGACAGUGUAUCGCCAACAUCGAGUUAUCAUCGUUUAGGGCGUGGACUAC